rnacentral:rRNA from 1 species
UAGGGAAUCUUCGGCAAUGGACGAAAGUCUGACCGAGCAACGCCGCGUGAGUGAAGAAGGUUUUCGGAUCGUAAAACUCUGUUGUUAGAGAAGAACAAGGACGUUAGUAACUGAACGUCCCCUGACGGUUUCUAACCAGAAAGCCACGGCUAACUACGUGCCAGCAGCCGCGGUAAUACGUAGGUGGCAAGCGUUGUCCGGAUUUAGUGGGCGUAAAGCGAGCGCAGGCGGUUUCUUAAGUCUGAUGUGAAAGCCCCCGGCUCAACCGGGGAGGGUCAUUGGAAACUGGGAGACUUGAGUGCAGAAGAGGAGAGUGGAAUUCCAUGUGUGGCGGUGAAAUGCGUAGAUAUAUGGAGGAAGACCAGUGGCGAAGGCGGGUCUCUGGUAUGUAACUGACGAUGAGGCACGAAAGAGUGGGGAGCAAACGGG